rnacentral:tRNA from 1 species
CCUGGUAUUUCAGUUGGUAAAGAAUCUGCUUGCAGUGCAGGAGACCCAGGUUCAAUCCCUGGGUCAGGA